AAGGAUCAUUACUGAGUAAGGGUUCAUUCAGAGCCCGACCUCCAACCAUUUGUUAAAUUUACCUUUGUUGCUUUGGUAGGCCCGUCUAUUCUUAACGGAAUGGACCGCCGGAGAUCUUUAACCAUCUCUGGCCUGUGCUUGCCAAUAGCCAAACAUAAACCCUUUUUAACGAUGUUGUCUGAUAUCUUAUUAAAAAUCUAAUUAAAACUUUCAACAACGGAUCUCUUGGUUCUG
rnacentral:misc_RNA from 1 species